rnacentral:lncRNA from 1 species
UCUAUACUAUGCCAUCAUAAUGUUGAAAUCGGUAGGCAAGGAAAACCGUUUAGGGGAGUAAACAAAGUUGAGGCGCUGAUAAGAAGGAAGUAUCCGCUAAAGUACGAUGCUAGUAGUGACAGGAGAACAUGAUAAACAGAUAAUCUAGUUCAUAAUAAUCUAAUAUGGAUUUAAUCAAUUAUGAAUAUGAUAGGAAGGAAUAAUUGAAAAUAAAAAACUUGCAUAACAAUGAACGUGACUACAUACAUGCAUGAUAAAAUAAUAAAAAACU